ensembl:miRNA
CCUGUGAGCCUGCCCUGUGCCUGGCCCACUUCUGCUUCCUCUUAGCCCAGGAGGGGUCCCGCACUGGGAGGGGCCCUCAC